GAUGAACGCUGGCGGCGUGCCUAAUACAUGCAAGUCGAGCGAACAGACGAGGAGAUUGCUCCUCUGACGUUAGCGGCGGACGGGUGAGUAACACGUGGAUAACCUACCUAUAAGACUGGGAUAACGUCGGGAAACCGGAGCUAAUCCCGGAUAAUAUAUUGAACCGCAUGGUUCAAUAGUGAAAGACGGUUUUGCUGUCACUUAUAGAUGGAUCCGCGCCGCAUUAGCUAGUUGGUAAGGUAACGGCUUACCAUGGCAACGAUGCGUAGCCGACCUGAUAGGGUGAUCGGCCACACUGGAACUGAGACACGGUCCAGACUCCUACGGAAGGCAGCAGUAGCGAAUCUUCCGCAAUGGGCGAAAUCUUGAAGGAGCAACGCCGCGUGAAUGAUGAAGGUCUUCGUAUCGUAAAACGCUGUUAGUAGUGAAGAACAAAUGUGUAAGUAACUAUGCACGUCUUGACGGUACCUGAUCAGAAAGCCACGGCUAACUACGUG
rnacentral:rRNA from 1 species